CCUCGGGCGCGUGGUGAGGCUGGUGCCGGCGGGGCCGCUCGUUUGUAGAGUGUGUCUGUCUUUCCCUGUCAUUGCGGUGGUUUUGCUUUUGCCUGGGAUUGUGAGAGAAACGGUAAAGAGGGCCCCCCAGGUGGUGAAGCGUCAAGGCCCAUUUGAAAGAGUUGCAGAGAAAGACAAGUUAGUCAGGAUCGCCAAGGAAGCAUUGUAACUGAGGGGUGAGGCUGGCUGUGCGAUUUGCUUGGGAGUGAUGAACCUGAGGCCCGUGGCAUCCCAAUUUGAGGCUGGGGCAGGAGAGGAGGGGUCCUUGUCGCUAGGAAGGAAAGGCUGGUGGCCCUUGCUGUGAGGUGCAGGCAAGGAUGUGUCCAGGGAAGGAGCAGCAAGUCCCCCGUGCCCCUGCCGUCACCCAGGGAACGGCGGCAGGUGCUAGCAGGUGUAAGGCGUUCUCAUGAUGAGGGCUGAGUGCCUCGGUGAGAGCAGAGGCAGGUGUGAGGUGUUAGGACAAGGAGGGGGUGGCUCCUGCCAGGGCUGGUUUAAGAGGGCAACGUCAGGUGACUCUGGUGUGGAGCUUGUGGAGAUGAGGGGUUGCUGGUGGGUUUCUGUGGGGCGGCUCAUGGAGUCUGGGGGAGCUCCUGAAUGCACUUGGAUGCAGAGCACAGGUUCAAGGAGGUGCUAAGGGACAGAGCUUUGUGCCAGGCAGCAGCAGCAGGUUUGGAUCCGGCAGCCUGGAAGCAGCCACAGGCAGAGAACAUUGGGACACCCACGGCACCGAGGCGUCGUUUUCCGUCCAGGCCGGAGUUUGUGGGCUCAUCUUCCGAAAGCUAAGUGUCAGGGAUGGGGGUGAGGAGAAGAGGAAAAAUGUUUUCAGUGGCAGGGGGCAAUUCAAAGCUAGCUUAGGGCAGAGGGCCAGAGGCCCGGUAAGUAAGGGUAGAGGGUUCGUCCCAGGCAUCAGCAGAGCUUUUGCCGGGCAGGGCAGUGGCGUCCCCUGUCCGCCUUUUAGGGAGCCGGGUGUCAUCCGCCCGGUUGGAGUCCACAGGGUUAGGGUGCAGCCAGGGAUGGGCAGCCCACGCCGGGAUCCCUGUGCCAGGAGCGUCUGCAGUUGUGAGGCGUAGGGUGGAGCAGGAGCACUUGAGAGAGACCCAGUGAGGCUGAGGGAGGGCUUGAGAGGUGAGGGAGUGUCAGGCCAGAGAGCAGGAGGUGAAAGUAAGGCGUAGAGGCUAGGAUGCAAAUUUGAGCACAGGUGUAUGAACCCUGAGAACUGUCCUGUUUCCCUGAGAACAGGUGCAGGCAGCCAGGCUGUGGCAGGCCAGCGGCAGAAGAGCCGAGAGGGGCAGGCAGGAAGCGUUAGUGGGGAGCAGGGUCCGCAGGGCCGGGUCUAACCGGGGGUUUCCCGCCCCGGCCCACCCUGGGAUCUCCUGUCUCCCCGCAGUCGAGGAUGUCUCCUCCCAUUCCUCGAGGCGGCGGUUGGUAAGGCUUCGUGCCUUUGCCACCGCCAAGAGCGCGGCUCUGUCAGCCUCUGCCCUGUCUCAGGGCCAAAGUUAGUUAGGGUAGGGAGAAACUGUGGAUGACUCGUCCUGCCCGCAGGACAACCCUUGGGACCCUGGAUCAGGAGCAUCCUCGACUGCUAGCAUAGGGCCUUAGAGAAGUAGGGUGAAGCAGGGCACUUGAGAGAGACCCAGCGAGGCUGAGGGAGGGCUCGAGAGGUGAAGGAGAGCGUCAGGCCAGAGAGCAGGCCAUGAAUGUAAGGUGUAGAGGCUAGGAUGCAAGCUUGAGUGCAGGUGCAUGAGCCCUGAGAAGCGUCCUGUUUCCCUGAGAGCAGGUGCAGGCAGCCAGGCUGUGUCAGGGCAGUGGCAGAAGCGCUGAGGGGGCAGGCAGUAGGGCUAGGGCUAGGCAGGAAAUGAGGAGGGGGGGCAGAGUCGACUGGGUUGGGAUUGAGCGUGGGAUGCCCACCCUGGUAUCUCUGUUCUGCUGCAAUCAGGGAUGUCACAGCCCUAGUGGAGGCCAGGGUGGGUGAGUGGGCUUAGCAUCCAUCAUGCCACCAAGACUUUGUCCGUGCAGGUGUCGGGCUGUGAGCGAAGCCAAAGCAAGCUGCCCAAGACUCUGGGCAUUGUUAAGAGACGGGGAGCCCCAGGAUUGGUGUUUUUUGGCUGAUGUGCUGCAAAGUUUAUGCUUUAAUGUUUGGUUUUCUUUUUUAUAGCUGAGGAAGAGACACGAGGCUGGUGACAGCAGGACUUUCCCAGAGGGCGAGGCAGCAUUCAUUGGCACCGGAUGUGGAUGGCGAUCCCUGGACCUCCCAGAGCUAAGUGGAGGGCUCAAGCUGCAGAGGGCAUGAGAGCAGGGUGCUGGGUUGGGAGUUGCUGGGGGGGGGAAUUAUUGAGUCUGGUUUGGCUAGGGAGAUGUGCAUCAUGUGAGCGCUUAGGGCACCUGAAGGGCAAGUGUCAUUUUUGCUGGCCAUGCUGAGCUGUGGAGGGCAGAGCAGUCCCGGGCACGUGGUGUCUGUUGUGUGUCGCGCACUCUGUGUGUGUCGGGCAUCUCAUCUUUCACGUCUUUUCCCAUGGUCCCCCAGGGGUCCUAUGGGGAACCCCGGCAUCACGGUUAGCAUUUCUGAUGUCUGCCUUCGUGGCCCCAGCAGCUUUGACGGGAGGGCUGAAUCUUGUGUCCCUUUUGACUCAUCCAGUGCGAUGUCUUUUGAGGUCUUGUUGUGAACUGUACAGACAGCCGUGCCCCGCCACGAUCCAUUUUGGCGGGUUAGGACUUGUUAGAAGUCCAAGCUAGGUCUGGGCUUGUGAGCGGAGGAGCGUCGGGCAUCCAUCUUUGUGAUUCUUGAAGUGAUUCAUCUUGUUAGCAUCAUCUUCCUGCAGGGUUCUGUGAGCCUGGCCAGCUCACCUUAUUUCUUCCAUUUGUCAUCUCAUUCUGAGUUCUCUCGGUCCUCCCGGUCGUUCUUCUUGCGGAGAGCUUUUUGUUGUUGUGGUGUCCCCUGGUUUGUGGCGUCCUGUGUGAUGGAUGUUGUGGUGUCUUUGUCCCGGAGCUGCUCUGCCCUGCCGCAUAGGUGGGUGUAGGGGUAAUAGAAGGAGCCCCUGGGGCCUGAAGUGGGUGAUGUCAGGUGGAGUUGUGGUGUGGAGGGCAUUCUCGGUUGGCAGCAUGUGUCUGUCGCUGUCAAAUUCCCUUGUUGCAGUGUGACUAUUUUCCUGUGUGUGUUUCAGAUGCGGAAGCAUUCACUUGAUGGCAGAGAGCCCCAUCCCAGGUGAGGGGGUGUCCCCAGAAGAGGAACUGAAGCGGGAUGUCAUCUGUCAAGGUGAAGCGGAGCAGGAGAUGUCACUUUCCACGGAGCUGCCCUCAGCAAGCAGAGGAUGGAUGCAGUUUGCCUGUCUCCUGAGACCUGUGGGGAGCAGAAGAGGAGUGUGUGAUGAAGCCUUGAUAUUUUCCAUUUGAAGGUGCCAUCCAGGUCCACCCCGUGACGACGGCAGGGGGCUCGGAGCGUGGCCGAGACGUGCGGGGCGAGGACGUGGGUAUUCUUAGGAGACGCUGAGGAAGAGACACCAGCCCGGUGGUGGCAGGACAUUCCCAGAGGGCGAGGCGGCGUUCCUUGGCACUGAUGUGGACGGUGAUCACCGGACCUCCCAGAGCUAAGUGGAGGGCUCGAGGCACAGAGGGGAUGAGAGCAGGGUGCUGGGUUGGGAGUUGCUGGGGGGGAUUGAGUUCAGUAUGGAUCUGGAGAUGUGCAGGAUGUGAGUGCUUAGGGCACAUGAAAGGCAAGUGUCAUUUCUGAUUGUAAUGCUGAGACAGGCAGGGCAGAGCAGUCCCGGGCAUAUGGUGUCUGUUGUCCACUCUGUGUGUGUCAGGCAUCUCAUCUUUCACGUCUUUUCCCAUAGCCCCUCAAGGGGCCUGUGGGGAAUCCUGGGAUCACUGUUAGCAUUUCUGAUGUCUGCCUUCCUGGCUCCAGUGGCUUUGACUGGAGAGCUGGGACUUAGAUCUGAACCUCAUCUCUGUUCAGAGUCAUCCAGUGCGAUGUCUUUUGAGGUCUUGUUGUGAGCUGUACAGACAGCCGUGCCCCGCCACGAUCCAUUUUGGCGGGUUAGGACUUGUUAGAAGUCCAAGCUAGGUCUGGGCUUGUGACCGGAGGAGCGUCGGGCAUCCAUCUUUGUGAUUCUCAGAAGGCAUCAUCUUGUUGGCAUCAUCUUGUUAGCAUCCUCUUCUUGUAGGGUUCUGUGAGCCUGGCCAGCUCACCUUUUUUAUUCCAUUUGUCAUCUCAUUCUGAGUUCUGUCGGUCCUCGCGGUCGUUCUUCUUGCGGUGAGCUUUUUGUUGUUGUGGUGUCCCCUGGUUUGUGGUGUCCGAUGUGACGGGUGUUGGUGUGGCUUUGUCCCGGAGCUGCUCUGCCCUGCCGCAUGGGUGGGUGUAGGGGUAAUAGAAGAAGCCCCUGGGGCCUGAAGUGGGUGAUGUCAGGUGGAGUUGUGGUGUGGAGGGCAUUCUCGGUUGGCAGCAUGUGUCUGUCGCUGUCAAAUUCCCGUGUUGCAGUGUGACUAUUUUCCUGACUUUGUUUCAGAUGCAGAUGGAUUCAAUCCAUGGUAGAGCGCCUCAUCCUGGGUGAGGGGGUUCCUCUGUGAAGGUGUAAGUCACUGUCUUUGCUGGGGUAGUGCAAAUAGUGACUGUGUAAGAGCUUUUUUUUUUCUCUUUACUUUCAGGAAGUGAUGGUCGAUGUCAGCUCUCAAGGUGAAGUGGAGCAGGUGAACCGUGAUUGUUGGAGAGAAGCAGUUGCUAUUGCUGAAGUCUUACUUGAUCAUGCAUGUCUAAGCAUCCCCUUUUGUGUUUUAUGGGGUCUGCUUGCAUGACGCCAUUCUGUCACGAACUAGGUGCUGGUUUCUGUUUGGAAUUUAGUGUGGAGAAUCUUUCUGUGGAGAGUUUUUCUGAUGCAUGGCUGCACAGCAAGGGUCAUGAUACUGUUAAGUCGGUUGGAAUGUAACUAUGUCUAUGUGGUGUACGUGAUGAUUAACAAGGAUAUAAUAUCCUUGAGCACUAGAAUGAUACAACAACAAAGGUGUUGUUAGUACAAAAAUGCUGAAAAAUGCUAGGCUAAGGAACUGAAAAUGCUAGAUAAAGAAAAUUGUAACCGCAAGGCUGAUUACAGAAAGAACAUGCAUCAAAAUAUCAUAAGCCAAUCAUGAGCUAUAGUUUUGUAAUAUGUAUGAACUAAUUAUUGACACUAUAUAUUUGCUAUUAAUCUAAAUAAAGCUGAGACUUGUCGAUCAUCAUCGGAUGUGGCUUGUCUCCCGUUGUUUUCCGACAAUUUUAGCUGGCUGCCAUCCAUUUGCUGGCCCAUAGCCUUUGACAGAAAGUGUCCCUUCUCCAUGGGCAUGCCAAUUCACCCUCCCCUGUUCCUGAUGUGAUUUUGUAGGAGGCAUUUGGCACUCCAAGUUAGACAUGUAAGUGUUGUCUCUGCCAGCUUUUGCCAGCCCUGUAAGCCUGAUUCCCUUCCCUUUCUGCAGCAUGUGUCUGUCCUGGUCCUAGGAUUUGUGCAUGCUUUGAAAAGGAAUGUUUCAUUUAGCAUUGAUCAUGGGCAUUGCUGAGCAAUUGUGUCUGUGUCUUCUUUCACACAUGAACUCUUCACCACUCGAUGGGGACUCUCCCAGACAUUUUAUGAUUGAAAUCUGUUCACCCAUGAGUGAAGAACACAAAGGGCAAGAGGUGUUUCUGCUUGUCCUGUUUUUUUUAAGGUGUAGGUGAAGUCUAAUCUCCAGUACUCUCUGCCGUGCAGCUCCUUUGGCCCGUCCCACAGUCCUUGAAGUAAGCACGUGUAAAAGCUGGGCCAAGUUUCCCUGCACAGUUUUAGUUUGUCUGUUGCAGCCCUGAGCAGGUGUCUAAAAUAAGUAAAAACCCCCUGGUGCCUCCGUCUCCCCCCUGGGCAGGGAUGCAGGGGCAGCAGCACCCCUGAAACGAUGUCCCAAACGGAGAGCCUUCCCAGGCCCCUGGAGAAGAGCUUGUGAAAAGUGCAUAUUAUAUGGCUCUACACAAGAUAUUUACUCUAUGUGUUGUGUUGUGUUAAUUGUUAAUGUUGUAUUAAUAUUUUGAUAGUGUAGUAAAUGUAGUUUUGUAGUUAAAAUGUAGUUUUUAUGUACCAACCACCGGAAAAUGUAAAUCUUUGAAAGAAAGAAAGAAUUUACUACUUCCUUAUCAGAAGAGACCAGCUCCUCCUGCUUCUCUCAGCCUGGUGGAUGCCAUAGAGAUUAAAGGAAAAAAGUGAUACUAACCAUAGACAAUUCUUUGUUUGAAUAGAAUUUAUAUAUAUGCAUCAUGUAUAAAUUGUAUGAAUAUUGAACAGGCUAUUGCUUUUAAGAGAUAAUCCUUUGUUAACAGGAGUCCUUCUCCAGAGCUUGUGGCUCGGGAGAGGCACCCAGACGUCUGUAACUUUGUUUUUAUUGUCUUGUAUUGUCCUAAGUCUAAAACUGUUCAAUUUUUUUACUCUAAUUCUAUUAUUAUAACCAUCUUAUUUACUAUUAAACUUUUAAAAUUUUAAAAGAAGUGCUUGGCGUUUUUCACAAGCUGAAGGGGUAAGAAGAGAGGGCAGGAAAGCCUUGGUACCUUCCGUGAGAGCGCCUGUGUCCCCGUGCCCUGCAAAAGCAGCAAGGGCCAGCAUCCCUGUGAUUUUGAGAUGAGGCCGAGGGAAAACUGAGGCAC